UACGUAGGGUGCAAGCGUUGUCCGGAAUUAUUGGGCGUAAAGAGCUCGUAGGCGGUUUGUCGCGUCGAAUGUGAAAACCCGGGGCUCAACCCCCGGGCCUGCAUUCGAUACGGGCAGACUAGAGUUCGGUAGGGGAGUCUGGAAUUCCUGGUGUAGGCGGUGAAAUGCGCAGAUAUCAGGAGGAACACCGGUGGCGAAGGCGGCUCUCUGGACGGUGACUGACGCUGAGACGCGAAAGCGUGGGGAGCAAACAGG
rnacentral:rRNA from 1 species